CGUCCUCCUUCCUCCUACACCUCCCUCCCCCCAGUGAGCUGGCUCAAUAAAAGGGCGGAGAAAUCAUAUCUCGACCAGACCCCACUUCGGUUCUCGACUAAGCACAUUCUCUGGUCGACCAUGAACAAGCGAAUUCUCCUUUUGCUUGCUGUGUCUUCUAUGCUACUGGUGACGAUGGCUAAGGCAAGACCAGAGCCUGCAGCAAGAGCAGGUCAGGUAGAAAGAACAGAUCUUGUAAAACGAUCAGCAAGAGCAGCCACUGUCUCGCCUGUCAGAAGUUCAGACUUUGUUGAUAGGUCAGACUUUUCAGACUGAUCAGGGAUUGUUGGAAGCGGAUAGCACCUGUGAUGAAGAAGGUUGUGAACAAUGAUUCCACACCCUGCUUCCCAGCCCUAUUCUGCCAUCAGGGUCAAGUUGGAAGAAGGUAAGAAAUAACACACUCCAGAAAACAAAAUAAAGAAAUAUGAAUAAAA
rnacentral:lncRNA from 1 species